rnacentral:rRNA from 1 species
UUGGUUAUGCUGAUAAGAGCGUAUGGUGGAUGCCUUGGCACUAAGAGCCGAUGAAAGACGUGAUAAGCUGCGAAAAGCUUCGGGGAGGAGCAAAUAUCCUUUGAUCCGGAGAUUUCUGAAUGGGGAAACCUACUUGAGCAAACCUCAAGUAUCCUUAAGCCAAUACAUAACUUAAGGAAGGGAACCCGGUGAACUGAAACAUCUAAGUAGCCGGAGGAAGAGAAAACAACAUGUGAUUCUGUGAGUAGCGGCGAGCGAAAACGGAAGAGCCCAAACCAGCGUGCGUGCAUGCUGGGGUUCGGACCGCGGAAUUGAUUCAACAAGUUUAGCAGAACGGUUUUGGGAAAGCCGGCCAGAGAGGGUGAAAGCCCCGUAAGCGAAAGACGAGUUGACAUGGCGGGAUCCAGAGUACCACGAGACACGUGGAACCUUGUGGGAAGAUGCGGGGACCACCCCGUAAGGCUAAAUACUACUUAGUGACCGAUAGCGCAUAGUACUGUGAAGGAAAGGUGAAAAGGACCCCGGGAGGGGAGUGAAAAAGAACCUGAAACCAUAUGUUUACAAGCUGUGGAAGAGCUUUAUAUGCUCAACCGCGUACUUUUUGUAGAACGGUCCGGCGAGUUACGCUGGCUGGCGAGGUUAAGGACUAAAGGUCCGGAGCCGAAGGGAAACCAAGUCUGAAUAGGGCGCAUAGUCAGUCGGAGUAGACCCGAAACCGGGUGAUCUAUCCAUGUCCAGGUUGAAGUUGCCGUAAAAGG